rnacentral:rRNA from 1 species
GACGAACGCUGGCGGCGUGCUUAACACAUGCAAGUCGAACGCUGAAGAUCAGCUUUUGUUGGGUGGAUGAGUGGCGAACGGGUGAGUAACACGUGAGUAACCUGCCUCCUUCUUUGGGAUAACGCCCGGAAACGGGUGCUAAUACUGGAUAUUCACUGGUCUUCGCAUGGGGGUUGGUGGAAAGGGUUUUUCUGGUGGGGGAUGGGCUCGCGGCCUAUCCGCUUGUUGGUGGGGUGAUGGCCUACCAAGGCUUUGACGGGUAGCCGGCCUGAGAGGGUGACCGGUCACAUUGGGACGGAGAUACGGCCCAGACUCCGACGGGAGGCAGCAGUGGGGAAUAUUGGACAAUGGGCGCAAGCGUGAUGCAGCGACGCCGCGUGAGGGUUGGAGGCCUUCGGGUUGUGAACCUCUUUCGCUCAUGGUCAAGCCGCAACAAUGGUUGUGGUGAGGGUAGUGGGUAAAGAAGCGCCGGCUAACUACGUG